rnacentral:lncRNA from 1 species
AAAUAGUCACAGUAAAUUACUAAAACCUUUACAUAUCCACCCACAGUCUACAAGUUGAAUAGAUCUUGCUAAAUCCUAAACCUUCUUUUUAAAUGCCGUCUGCAACUUACGAGAUGGUAGCGCAUGAACAGUGGAGUUGAGGUGCUUGCCUGUUUUUUUACGCAGGGCGCUCCUCACCCACCCCAACUCCUGAUGAGCGAUGCAUGGACUAAGCCGUACUCUAGGGAGUACGCCGCGUUCCCUGCGGCUUGGCUUCGGGGCGCCAAGUUCUGGCCAACAACAUGUACUGAUAGCUCAAAAAUCCUUCUCGUUACUUUUUUUUUUGGCAUAUAAGCUAAGUACCUGCGUUCUGCUCUUGGCAGGUCGUGUGGACAACGUGUACGGGGACCGCAACCUUAUCUGCACUCUGCAGCAGGCGUCCCAAGUGACAGAAGAAGCUGCAGCUGCAGCUGCUACCGCGUAAUCUUUCAGAUGAUGACGAUCCAGGGU